CGGGCCGCUAACCCUCUAGCAGCUUAGGCGCCAUUAACCCAUUAACGGGUUUUCCCUUAGGGCCUCUUCUGAAGCUGCUUCCGUGGAUCUCAGGAUAGUUUUCCUCUGUCCCCGCUUCUUCAGUAUUUCCCGAGCGGCUGGUUGAGCUUCUGCCGGUGAGGCUGUCCCUCCCGCCCGCACACAGCCUCCCACAGCUCGUCAGUGCCCCCGCCCCUGCGAGGUUCGCCUAGCGCAGCACCGGCCCCCUCCGCCAACCUCUGCAAGGGUCCAUGCUCGGGUCAGCCGCCGCUCCCUGCCUCGGCCACUGGCUCUCUGGUCUUUGGGAAGAAUUUGGCCCCCAGGGCCUCCUGACUCCUGUGGAUCCAAGAAAGGCUCUUGCUUUUUCGGUGUUCAGCUGUUUACUUGCCAGGACAGAGUGGCAGCUUCCAAGCUCCUGACGCGUGGGAAGUAAAACCGAAGUCCUUGCUUCAUUUUGAGGCUCUUGUUUGGUGCUUAAACCCUCAGGGAUGUUAAAUGUGUCUUGGUGCACAACACAGCGACUCCAGUUCUGUCCCUCACACUCCCGCCUCGUGUUGCCAUCGGUCACUGCGGUUACGGCUUACCCGUGUCCUCAGAGCUCCCGAGGCCCUGGUUAACAUCCGGUGUUGCUGUGGACAUAAACGUGGAGGGAGCAGUGGUGGUAAGUGUGUGCGGCGCAGCAUGUCACAGAAGCCUGCGGGUGCUGGCUGGCAGCCUACGGGGUCACGGUGCCCCAUGGUCCUUACACCUCCGUCUGUGCGCGGACGCAUCACAGGGCGACUGCGGGUGGGUUCACAGCACGCCCUGAGGUCUACCCUGCAGAUGAAACGUGGCCCUGACUGGGGGGCUCCCUCGAACGGGCAGUGCUUUUCCUACGAGGGAAGACCUCCCGUUAGCGAAAUGUUUCCUUUCUCUGAAGGCUCUUCCUUCAACAUCUUCUUCCUGGACAAAGGUCUCGGGUAGCCGUCCCCUCUCUUUGGACAUAGUUCAGUCUCAAGGUGAACCUAAUGAAUGACCAGAGGAACACUGCCUGAGAGAAGCGGGGCUAAGGCUGGACACUCUCCAGCACCGGUGAACACAGCGCGGGCAGAUCUCAAACAGCCCACCAUGCUGCUUGCUUGUGCGAGAGAAAGCGUCUCAGUACGGGAACGAAGCCCCCCUCACCCCGCCGAGCUGUCCUUGAGCCCUGAGGUGCCGCUUCUCGGAGCUCCCACGGAGCCUUGUGCCAUCCUUCUUGGCCGCUCCUCCUUCCCCCACUGCCCAGAGCCCACAAGCUCCAGGACACCAGCAGCCCAGGGCACGGGCAUUCUGGUGGCUGGACGGUCAUCGUGUUAGAACAUGGAGCUCACAGAGCCACGUGCCUCUUUAGGGGAGACUCAUCCCGUGGCAGGAUAAAUCUCUGCGGUUGGCAGUGAUCCUGAUUCUUAGAUCGAAGGCCGAGACUGUAGAAGAAAUGACGGCAACAGCCGCAGCCUCAAGUAGGUUGCACAACCGCAGUGUCACAGAGGAGAAUCCGUGACUCCGUGACCAUUGCCUGCAACGCCCGGUGCCUCUUCCUCGGGGAAACACUGAACACCCCUUCCUGGUGGCAGAGCAGACACCCAAGCAGCUCCUUGGGACAACGGCCAAGGGGUGGUGUCUUCAAGGAGCUCAGCUGUUCACGUGGAGACGGACGCCGCCAGACUGAAGGUGGAUCCAAAAUCAC